rnacentral:rRNA from 1 species
CCUCGGGUGGCUGCAGUGGGGAAUAUUGGACAAUGGGCGAAAGCCUGAUCCAGCCAUGCCGCGUGUGUGAAGAAGGCCUUCGGGUUGUAAAGCACUUUCAGUGGGGAAGAAAGCCUUGGGGCUAAUACCCUCGAGGAAGGACAUCACCCACAGAAGAAGCACCGGCUAACUCCGUGCCAGCAGCCGCGGUAAUACGGAGGGUGCGAGCGUUAAUCGGAAUUACUGGGCGUAAAGCGCGCGUAGGCGGUCUGAUAAGCCGGUUGUGAAAGCCCCGGGCUCAACCUGGGAACGGCAUCCGGAACUGUCAGGCUAGAGUGCAGGAGAGGAAGGUAGAAUUCCCGGUGUAGCAGUGAAAUGCGUAGAGAUCGGGAGGAAUACCAGUGGCGAAGGCGGCCUUCUGGACUGACACUGACGCUGAGGUGCGAAAGCGUGGGUAGCAAACAGGAUUAGAUACCCUAGUAGUC